rnacentral:rRNA from 1 species
GACGAACGCUGGCGGCGUGCUUAACACAUGCAAGUCGAACGAAGUGGCGAACGGGUGAGUAACGCGUAAUCCAUCUGCCCUUCAGAGGGGGACAACAGUUGGAAACGACCGCUAAUACCGCAUACUGAAGGUGGGGAUUGCGUCUGAUUAGCUAGUUGGUGGGGUAACGGCCCACCAAGGCGAAGAUCAGUAGCCGGUCUGAGGAGAUGGACGGGCACAAUGGGACUGAGACACGGCCCAGACUCCUACGGGAGGGAGCAGUGGGGAAACUUCCGCAAUGGGCGAAAGUCUGACGGGGCAACGCCGCGUGAGUGGUGACGGGCUUCGGGUUGUAAAGCUCUGUUAAUCAGGACGCGGUACCGGAAUAGAAAGCCACGGCUAACUACGUGCCAGCAGCCGCGGUAAUUC